rnacentral:rRNA from 1 species
UACGAAGGGGGGCUAGCGUUGUUCGGAUUUACUGGGCGUAAAGCGCACGUAGGCGGAUCGAUCAGUCAGGGGUGAAAUCCCAGGGCUCAACCCUGGAACUGCCUUUGAUACUGUCGAUCUGGAGUAUGGAAGAGGUGAGUGGAAUUCCGAGUGUAGAGGUGGAAUUCGUAGAUAUUAGGAAGAACACCAGUGGCGAAGGCGGCUCACUGGUCCGGUACUGACGCUGAGGUGCGAAAGCGUGGGGAGCAAACAGG